ensembl:lncRNA
CACCAGUGUGUAGUGUUAGAAAUUAAUUCUCAUAAGAGUAAUUCAUUAACUGUCACAGUUUUAAUUGCAUACUAUAAAAUGAGUUGCUUCUAACACAAGUGGUAAUAUGCUACUUCACAAUUAAAAUUACAUUUAUAUGAUUACCAAUCUAAAAGGCAAAUAAAUUUAAUUGCUUUAUAAUAAUUUUAUUUUUUCAAUUGUGUUAACAUUACUGACCCCUCAAGUCAAGUCUUUCUAAAUAUAACAGUUGGGCACUAUGUACUCUCUUUGAUUAUUCUCAUUAGAGCACUGCUUGUCAAAUGGCCUAAAAUCUGUCAGUUCAUUCACAGAGAUGACAGAAAACUCAUCCAUUUGGUCAUUUUCUAUACAAUAUGCACUGAAGUGGUUAUCAUAGUACAUUAUUUUUACAUUACAGGAAAUUUUGAAAGCACUCUCUUCAUAUAUUAUUAUUUCACAGAUCUUUUUGAACACAGGGAGAUCAUAAGUACAUCCAGUGCAUAUGAACAAACCAAACUGAUACUCAGUACCAUAAUGUCUGACCCACUUUGUACUUGUAACACUCAAAUAGGCUUCAAAAAUAUAAUGUCUGUCUGAGUUCUUCCCCACCUUGCAAGUCACAGAUGGUUUUUGAUGUUGUAGGACCAAAUUCAAACCUUCUAAAACAAUAAUUUUCAUAGUUAAAUGCCAACUGAUGUUGAUGUUGCUUUACUAAUGGUUUAAUGAGAUUCUUGAAAUUUUUGCCACAUCUUUUGAAAAUAUGGAUAAGAGGGCCAAUUUUUUUUAUGUAUCUCGGAUAGUGUAUCAUCAAGUGGUGCUUGGGAAUCAACCUCUUGUCAGGAAACAAUUCUUUGAACAGAGUAUGGUGAUCACAGAUCAGAUGUUUUAAGUAACAUAUCAUCCCAUCAGUUAUGGUGUAGGAGAACACUACAUUGACAAUCUGUAUCAAAAGCAGGAGAAAGUUCCAGUGAUUCUUAUUCCUUUCAAUGACAUAACCAAAUAUCAGUGGAGUGUUGUGCAGAAGACACCAGGACUGUAUGUCAUUCAAACCCAGGUGUUUGCUCUUAUUAUCCAUUUUUACCCCACUUGGUUUGUUUUUACGGUCUGUGUAACCAUAAUUAAAGCUCUGUAUCCUAUCUGACAAUGUGUUCAAAGAGACAUAGUCCUGUUUAACAAGGUACUCAAAAAACAGCUUAAGUUCAUACUGUACCACACCCUCUAGCAGAUCAUGCAUGAUGUUAUCAUCAUAGUUAUCAGUACAAUGGUACUGAUACUGUAAAGAAUUGAGCACACUUGACUUUUUGACCCCAUAUAUUGAUCGCAGUUUAGGAUUUUCAUUUAGUGCCUUACAGUGUUCAGUAUGAACCUCUUUGGAAUGGAAAAUUAACCCAGAAUGAUCUUCAGUAAAUACAGAUUGAACUUCUUCCUUAAAAAAACCUAUAGAAAUUAGUUGAACUGAAAGAUUCCACAAAUCCCAGCAAGUCAUUUAAAGCCAAAUUAUCUCCUGUUACUUGAAUUACUGAGCCAAACAAUGGUUGUUCAAAACAAGGAAGCUGUAUGCCUUCGGUUUCUAAGAUUUUCUAGUCAUUAAUAAGGGGCUUUAGUAUCACAUCAAAACCAUAUGUCUUAAGAUCUUCCAUGUAGAAUAGAGCUGCAAGAUGUACAUUAAUCAUUACCAAAUUACACUUGGGUGGAAGAUUUUUUAGAGUAAAAUAGAUACAACCAAGUUUGUGGAUCCCCCUCUUGGAACCUAGAGGGUUAGCAAUUUCAAAAUCGUCGUAAUAGAGUAGAAUCUGUAAAGUAUGCUUUUGCUGCGAGAACAGUGCAUGGAUUUGGAAAUACGACCCAUCAUUAAUGUCUUUGUAAACUCCAAUUCCACUCUGUUUGUCCUGUAAAAAGCUCUCUCUAACUUGACUGUUUUUGAAUAUGGAUUUCAGUGCACCCAGAAUGGGUACAUACAUGCACUUGUCCGUUACGGGAACCUAACUAUAGAUACUUGUAGUUCUAUCUCUGUGCAAAUCCAUUCUCACCCCAAGAACACAUUCUUUAGGUUAAACUAUUUCCCAUUUCUCAUCAUAAUAUUUAUGCCUCUUUGACUCAGUGUUUAAUGCUGAAAAAGGAUUACCUAAUUGAUCAAAACAGUGUUCUAUUCUUCUACAAUUGUGUGAACUUGUACUUUCAGGAGUAACAAUUUAAAGAACUACAUCUUGUGUUUGGCUUUUAACAUCAUUAAGAACUUCCAGUGGACAAACAAUUGUUUGGACAGCACUUUCCGAAAGACCUGAUGCUUGCAAAUGAGCAACAAUUGAUCCAAACAUUCAAGAUAGCUGACUUGUAACAAAAGAACUUUGUGAAGUAUGUAAAGUGGCAACAGAAUUUGGGCGAUCAUUUGAACAUUCCGCCUCAUAUUCUCCCUGAGUGGAAAGGUCCUGAUUAGUAUCAAUCUCUUGAUCCAUAUUGUGACUAUGUACCUUGCUGAGGUGUUUUCGGAAGCCACUGUAAGUACAAAAUGAUAAUGGGCAACCUGGCUCUCCACAUUUUAAACGUAACUUUUUCCUAAGAUAUAAACCAUGUUGAAAUUUUAAAUGUUGACAAAGAACUAAACAAGUUCUGAGGUGCGCUUUACAUACAAAACAUGAGAACAUCUUCAAGGUUGUUAAUCUCGCUGCAGCAAUCUUGCUAAAAGUUCUUUAACACGCGGGCUCUCCUUUGCUCUUCCGACAUCGAUGUUAUAGAUAGUGGUUUGGAUAAAUGUGUAGAAAUUACAAAGAGCUUCAUCAUAUGAGAGACUGAAGAUAUAGUGAGCUUUGAAUAGUUCAUCAAAAGCUGCCACUGAUGUGUGCGCCUUACAUGGGAUCGGUUUUUCGUCAAUAGUAUUGGAGAACUUUUGGAUAUCCUUCUUUCGCUCACUGAUGCAGAGGAGGAACGGUUGUCUUGUGUCAGCACUCUCAAUGAAGGUAGUCACACUGGCCCCUUCCU